rnacentral:rRNA from 1 species
UACGUAGGCAGCAAGCGUUGUUCGGAAUUACUGGGCGUAAAGAGUGUGUAGGCGGUGCUCUAAGUUCGGUGUGAAAUCUCCCGGCUUACUGGGAGGUGCGCCGGAAACUGGAGUGCUCGAGCGUGGGAGAGGAAAGCGGAAUUCCUGGUGUAGCGGUGAAAUGCGUAGAUAUCAGGAGGAACACCUGCGGUGUAGACGGCUUUCUGGACCAUUGCUGACGCUGAGACACGAAAGCGUGGGUAGCAAACAGG